rnacentral:rRNA from 1 species
AGAAUUCUUAGUGGCGAACGGGUGAGUAACGCGUAGGCACCUGCCCUUUAGACGGGGACAACAUUCCGAAAGGAGUGCUAAUACCGGAUGUGGCCGCAUGGCGAAAGAUGGCCUUCAAGAAGCUAUCGCUAAAGGAUGGGCCUGCGUCUGAUUAGCUAGUUGGUAGUGUAACGGACUACCAAGGCGAUGAUCAGUAGCCGGUCUGAGAGGAUGAACGGCCACAUUGGGACUGAGACACGGCCCAAACUCCUACGGGAGGCAGCAGUGGGGAAUCUUCCGCAAUGGACGAAAGUCUGACGGAGCAACGCCGCGUGAGUGAUGAAGGAUUUCGGUCUGUAAAGCUCUGUUGUUUAUGACGAAGUGCAGUGUGUGAACAAUGCAUUGCAAUGACGGUAGUAAACGAGGAAGCCACGGCUAACUACGUGCCAGCAGCCGCGGUAAUACGUAGGUGGCGAGCGUUGUCCGGAAUUAUUGGGCGUAAAGAGCAUGUAGGCGGCUUAAUAAGUCGAGCGUGAAAAUGCGGGGCUCAACCCCGUAUGGCGCUGGAAACUGUUAGGCUUGAGUGCAGGAGAGGAAAGGGGAAUUCCCAGUGUAGCGGUGAAAUGCGUAGAUAUUGGGAGGA